AGGGAGGAGGAUGGAGAUUAUCUUGAAGACCAGUAGCUUCUCUGGACUGUCGGUUUUGUUGUUGCAAGAGGAGCAGUCCUCUAAGCAAUGUUGGCCCCUAAAGAGGAGAAGAAGAGGUCAGUGAGCACCGUGAUCUCGGAGGGCAAUGGUUUUCAAAGCAACAUUUGAACGAAUGGUUUCAAAGCAAUAUAAAUAUGAGAUUAAUUAGUAUGCAUUGUCAGUGUAAAAAGAUUUACACGGUCAAUUCAUCACCGUCACCCGUUUGUAUUAUUUUAUAGAUUUUUAAAAUAAAAGUCAAACAUAUUUCAAUAUUCAACGUCUAGGAUUACAUGACGAUGUAAAAUCCUUUUACAUUAUCGGUGUAUUUCAAUUAAAUCCUAUAAAUAUUUAAGUGGUAAGAUAUAUAAAAUGAAGGUCUAAAAUUAUUUAAAACAAAUCAUGCACUCGUUUAUUUACUUAUUUAAAACAAAUGACUAGCAGUUUAUUCUGGUAUGAAAGGGACAACAAAUGAUUUAAGAGUGUUUUUGGAUGUUUUCAUGAGAAUAAUUUUUCAAAGUUUGGAGAUAUUUUUCAAAAUAACAAUGUUUUACUUACUUUUUAUUUUAUUUUAAUGUUUCAGUCAUUUUUAUGUGCAUUAUAAGGAUGACAAUAGAACUCAUAUACGACGAAUACGGGUAAAAGAAUCAAGAAUAUAAAAAUUUUAAAAAUAAAUAUGAGCAUAGUCAUAAACGUACGGAAAUAUUAUGCAUUUUAAUAAAAAUAUUUAUUUAUAACAUGUGACUACAUCAACAAAGAUAUUAAGGCAAGGAAUGUUUAAAUUACAAAUUUAAGCUUACUUAAUAAUUUUAUCAAACUCUAUUGUACCGUGUUUGAUAAAAAGUUAAUUAAUAAUAUAUAAUUAUAUAUUAUAAUAAUAUUUUUUCUUUAUUUCCUAUAUUAUAAAUGGGAGGUUCUGGUAGAUUUUCUCCUAUUCUCUAAAAUUUUAUUGAGCUUUCGCAAUUUCUAAAAAUUUAUUGAAGGCUAUGAUCGUUGUUAUUUAGGAGUAUACAAUUGUUCGCAAUAAUCUCUAGUCUUUUUAUCGAGAUUUAUUUACAGGAUCGGUUACAAAAUCCUAGACUAAUAUAUAUUGAGUAUAUGGUGUGUUUGUUCGUAAAGUGUUUAAAACAAUAGAAUAAGUAAAAUGUUUGCAAGAAAAAAUGCAGUAAAAGUAAAAUGAUAAAAGCAAGAUAAAGAUGUAAAUGAACAAAACAAAUAAAAUAACUUGAUAAGUUAAAUAGUUUGAAAGUAAAUGUGGAAGCAUGUGUACAUUUUGCAGGAAGUUAACUCUUUUCUCUUAGACGCUUGAUACUUCAAGUGUUUUUCUUUUGCAAUGUUACAAAUGCCACAUUUAGAAAUGAAAACCACAUAUACUUAAAUAGUAAUAAAAGAUAAUUGCUAAGAGGUUGUGAUCCAUUCAUGAUACGCCGCGUGCCGGAACCUGUCAACCCACGUCUCUAGUAACUUCCCACGUUCUGCUUCCAACGAUCUGUAUCCAUCAUGACACGUUUCACUUCGAAUUCGACAUGAUCGCCCCCUCCGUCGACUUCACUUCGACCUGACUUAGGUUCUACCUGACCGUCGAACCGCUUUCGACCGCAUCUCUGUUGUCCUGAUUUCUCCCUUCGGCGUGGUUGAAAUUUGCCAACUAACAACAACGUGGACAUUUGGACCAAGCUCAAUUUAAUCAUGUUGAUCUUUAACUCAAUAUCGUUCAACCGACUCGGUCCCAAUUGUGUGUUCAACUCCUCAAUCGUCACGAUUUUUUUUUAGGUAUGUAACAUUAAUUUUCUCCAAUUUUAAGGUACUGAUGUUUUGAAAUAUAUUUUUAAAGUUGAUUUUUUUUGCUAUUAUUCUACAUUAGAUAAUCACCGUCUUACCAUAGUAGUUGCACACAUGAAAAAGGACGUGGUUUUCUCGUUUCAGAUGAUUUCUUGAAACCAACUAUUUCAGUCCUAUAAGAUGUUCAUGAGAGCCCUUAAAAUAGAGUUUAGUCCUUCUCCAUAUGAAUCGCCUAAUCCGACCUUUUUUUAACUUAUCUAAAAUGACACCAUCGUGAAAUAUUACUCCUUAUUCAUUGUCCUUGCAAACCGCAUUCAAGGGUUAUCAUAUUGACGCUACCUAACCUGACGAAGAAGUCCCAUGUGUGUGGAUCCUUAGUAGACGGUGCAUCCUAUCUGAAAAUAAGUGGAGUUGAAAUCAUAUUGGAAGGUCCAUGGGACAUCCUUAUAGAACAAUCCUUAAGGUUCAAGUUCAAAAGCUAGCAACAAUUUGGUGGAAUAAGAACUUUUAUUGCAUGCAUGGCCUUGUUAAGAGAGCUAGGCGCGUCCAAUCUUAGAGCCAACAACAAUUUUCAAUUAGUUACAACUCAAGUCGCGAGCGAUUAUCAUACAAAAGAAGUAAAACUCAUAAAAUAUCUUUAUAAGGUCUAGGACUUGGCAAAACAAUUCAAUUUCCCCUAAUGUAAUCUAUGUACUUAUGGAGGAAAGUUCUUAGGAUGAUCUAUUAUCCAAGCUCGCUAGUACUAAUAAGUUCAGUCAUAAUAAGGCAGUAUACAAGAAACAUUGGUCCCCCUCGACAUAAAUAACAAAGUAGUCAAUCUCAUCGAGUCCUAUGCGCCAACAGAUGGAUGACACCCCUUGUGCAAUACUUGAUGAAUAAGGAAUUAUCUAUAGAUGACGACGAAACAAAGAAGAUAAGAAAAUUGGCAACAAAAUACACUAUGACCACAUGAAAGGUAUACAAGAUGAGGAAGACCACCCCAACUUCUAAAUGCUUGGGUGAAAUUGAAAUCUCCCAGAUAUUGAUGGAAGUACAGAAAGAUGUCCUUGAAAGUCACGUUAAAGAGAUGACAUUGGCUCAAGAAUUACUAAGGGUGGUUACUGACAUACAAACAUGAUAAAAAACAUUGUCGCAUAUGCCAACAAGUAUGACAAAUGUCAGAGAUACUCGAACCUACAUCAUGCCUCGACCGAGGUUCCUCAUUUUGUAACCUUGCCAUGGCCAUUCUAUCAAUGACGCAUGGAUAUACCGGGUCUCUUCCCUUUAACACCAAGACAACUAAAAUUCCUACUUGUAGGUGUGGAUUAUUUUACCAAAUGGAUUGAGGACAAGACGAUAUCAAAAAUCACAUUAUAAGCGGAUAAUUUUUAGGUUCGGGCUUCCUAAGUACAUUAUCUCAAACAGCAGAACCCAGUUCGACAACUCCAUUCUUAUAAAGUUUUGUCAUUAACUCAGAAUUCAAACAAAUUUUUCCAGCCGUGCAUCUCCAAGCCAAUAUGAAAUCUGAUUCGGCCAAAAAUAUCAUCCUCUAUGUAAUUAAAAAUAAGUUCGACGAGGAAAAAAAGCCUAUGGUUUAAAUUGUCACAUGAGGUAUUUCCAUCUUCUAAUUUAUCAUUAUCUUGCUUCAUCAUAUUCUAUAAAUCUUGCCCACAGUAUCUCCCAACUAGGGUUAUAAUGUUAUUGAUGAAAGUCAUGGAUUAUAUGGUCGUAUCAUACGACAACUCAUUCCUCCACCAACGAAACUCCUUUCAAAUCAGUAUACAAUGCCAACAACAUGUUACUGGUACAAUUUGACACACAUAUUUGGAGAGGUGAAUAUUUUGUUGAGGAAGGUAUAACCUCAAAAUAAUUCUCCAGUCUCUUUAAAAUGCUAAUAGAAUUUUAAAUCCAUAUCCCCCUUAUUGAAUGACUUAUUAAAAUUAAUUGAAUUUUUGCAUAAAAAGAAAAUGAAACAGGUCUCAAGUGUGCUACAAAUCUACUUGAUAUAACAUGACAGAUCACCAUGUUCAAGAGUACGCGGAACAACAAAGAGAUACAACUCUCAAGUAGUCCCAGUGGACAUGAAGGAGGGUAACUUGGUACUCAAAUAUGCGAUGACACCUACCCGAAUUGGAAAAUUGCUCCCCAAUCGAAAAUAUGAGAAAUACUGAUACAUGACACUUAUAAGUUGGAAGAAUGGGAUGGUAACACCAUCAUCAGAUCCUGAAACUCAAUUAAUCUGAGGCGUUAUUACUACUAAAUUUUUAUGUGAUCAAUCUAAUAAAGCAAUGAAUAAUAUUCGCCAUAGUUUGAAUUUCUGACUCGACAUAUCAAUAAAAGGAAUAUGGUGGCUCUUUUUUACUCGACAAGGGCAUGAGUUUUUAAUGAGGCCCCUUAUUUUCUCCAGGUUCAUCUUCUUAUUCAACCAACUUUCCAUAUCGAACGACCUUGAACAUAUCAAACUCGCUUAAAUUCAAGUCGAGUUACAAGAAAAGUACCUGUUAUUUCACCUUGUGAAGUGCCUGGUCAAUAGUAAGAACACUUUCUACAUGAUAAUAUUCCAAGUAUGCUUGUAAUGAAGCCUUGAAGAUGACAUCAUAAUUGAUGUAUUUUUUAAGGUGAAAAUCUCCUCUCCCGUCUUAUCUAGCUCUUUGCCCCGCUUCUCGCAUACCCCUUCUUUCUCCUUCUUGUAUGCCUCCCACUUUUCCACCGAGCAUUGAGCUUAUUUAUGAUCUUUUUCCAAGGAGGUGUGCUUCAUGUUGGGAUAGUCCAACAAAGCCUUAUUCUAGUCAAAGCUUUAUUUCACCAUUGCCAACUUCGUCUUCACUAUAAACACCAACUUCUUUGUAUGGCCAUAUUAGUCAAACAUCACCCGAUUUAAGAGGGUAACUUUUCUCCAUGUUGAGCCAAUGUUUCACACCCAUCUUAUUAACCUUAACAUUUGAGAGGUUGAGGUGGUCAUGUAUGAAACCCAAGUAUUUGUCUCAAAGCAAAGACGCUUGAUCACUUCCAAAAUGAGUCGAAGAAGAUAUUCCUUGAUGGGGAGUGACUACAUCACCACCUAGAAUCGCCUCGUAUUCUAAAUAUAUUGAGGCAUGUGCCUCUAAGGUAAUUUGGGUUUUCCCUUUCACAACUUUCCCCUUUUUUUCCUGUGAGAAGAUUGGGCCUCACAAAGAAAGGUUGAAUUUACGGUCGAAAACAUGAUCACACGAGAUGAUCCAAGCCUUAUCCAUUGAUUUCCUCUUCUUUGUAGCAUGUGUCAUCAAGUUGCAAGGGUCGUUAUUCUAUUUGGAGGCCCAUAAUUUUCCUCGCUUGGAUUUCUUCCUCUCUAACAAAGCUUUCUUCUCUGAAAGUGUCAAGGGAGUCGUCCUUUAUGCAAAAGAAUAAAAAAGUUAAUAAAAUAACAAUAAUAUCAAAACAAACAUAUGAUUGACUCUUACGUAAGUAUUCAUUGAUGCUUUAUUGUCAUUCUCAUGAUCUACCAACUCCCUCACAUUCCGAAUGCAAAAAACCUCAAAGAAAUCGACGAUAUAUUUAUCUAUCUUGCUAAACUUAUCAUAGUUGAAUCCGUUUAUUGAGUGACCCUUCAAAAAUGAUCAUCAAGAACUUCCGUACCUCGUACUCAUACAAACUUAUCAUUUUAGUUCUUCUAGUUUGACAUAUACGAAGUGAGCAGGCGAUAUUGGAUAGGGAACUUAUAGAAAUCCAACCGCCCUUAUUGACGCCCUUAGUACCAUUAAAGAAAAUAAAAUUCCUAUCGUAGACAUGAUCCCAAGAUCUCUACAAAGAAUCUCAAACCCUAUAAUGAAAUCCUAACUAUUCAGACGUAGUUGGUAGGGGCGACAUUGACAAUCUGCAAGAUCUCAAUCUCAAACAUUGUGAACGGGAUCCCCACACCCAUGUCGAAAAUAACACUUGUGUACAUAUAGAAUUUGUCCCCUUCCCCUUAUGGCAUCAUCACGAUAGAUUUCCCACCCUCGGUGCAAGGCUCUAAUAGAAUGUCGUCUUUGUCUCCCAUAGUGGAUAUAUGUAGACUUUUAUGGAACAAAACCACCUUGACCGCAAUAUUGAAAACAAAACUAAUGGUUUCAACUCCACCACUUAAGUGGGCAGUACUCAUAAUUGCUAUCAGCGUUCCCUUUGUCUAGGAAAAGAAUAGGGAAAAACAAUAUCAUUAGUACCAUUGCUCUCACCGCAAUCAGAGCUAUUAUAACUAUUAUCAUAAAUCCUCGAAAUUCCCAAUUAACAAGUUUUGAAUCGACCCUCCCACUACGUUGCCUUGAAUUUAUUAAACAGCGAUUUCAUAUUCAACAUCUCUGCUCAUACGUUUUUAGGCUCUAUUAAGUUGACAUUUUUGUCACCCUCUUAGUGAACAUCAUCACCUAAACAUUUAAAAAGAGAAAAUAUACAUGAAAAGCAAAAUGUAAUACCUCAAAUGAGUUUUCAAUUGAAGGAGUGUUGGAUGAACAAACUAGUGGGAGGAAAAUGCAAUUUCUAAUACAAAGAGGAAAAGUAUUAAGAAUACAUCCAUAUCGUCCUAGCCAUCAUUGUUUUGACAAAACAUCAAAGGCCCUAAUUGCAGGCAUGCAAAGAGAUGAUCAACCCAAAUCAUUUGAUCAUUUCCAAGACAAUGUUAAUCAUUUCCCUGUAUUAAGUGCAUUAUUAAUUCAAAAGUUUUACCAUCUUUAAUAAAGUUUAACCAUUGAUCUUAAACAAG
rnacentral:lncRNA from 1 species